AGCUCGCCUUGGCUCGCUGGCCAGGGCCGGAGCUCCUCAGGAGAGCCGAGGCGCCCACGCGAGAAUCCCGCACCUGGGUCUCUCUUCAGGAAUGAAAUCAUCUGUUGACCUCCUUGUCUUUGAAGACCAACCCCCCUCAACGAAGACCAACUCUCCUCAACGAAGACCAACCCCCCUCAACGCCAAGCUGCCACCAAGCUGCUCCUUUACAUCUUAAAGUACUUCCACCCCUCCUUGUGGCAUUUCAGAGGACACUAGAUGCACGGAUUCCUGGAUCCCGUCAGGAAUACAAAGCAGCCACAAGCAAAUCCCCAGAACCAGGACAGCAAAGGAUGAAGGGGACCAGAACUGACCAGCCAGCUGUCCCACUCAGCUAAAGACAUAAAACCAAUGCCCUAGUGAGGGGGCAUUGGUCGUUAAAACCUGACUAUGCCUAUACCUUGAUUCUCUGUCUACUUUCCUGUACAUCUCUGCCUGUGUUAACCUGUUUGCUAGCUAACUGGAGUGUUUCCCUCCCCAAGGGGGUGUCAGUCUUUCUCGACUGACUCUGUUGCCUUUAUGAUGUCCAAAAUGGAAGGAUCUGUUUGAGAACUUCUCAGGAGGGGGACCUGGGCCAAGGGCUUGACAAACAUCUCACUGGCAAUUCCAAGGCCCUGGGUGGGCUUCUGGAAUGAGCAUGUUACUAAACCACCAAAGGCAUGACCAACCUCUUUUGAGGUCUCCCUGUCCUUUUCUAGGGAAUGGGGAUCAUAGAAGCAACCUCCUAGGGUUGUUGUGAGAAUUAAAUGAGAUCAAGCAGCCUCAGGCAGGGUUGGUC